rnacentral:rRNA from 1 species
UACGAAGGGUGCAAGCGUUACUCGGAAUUACUGGGCGUAAAGCGUGCGUAGGUGGUUUUUUAAGUCCGUUGUGAAAGCCCUGGGCUCAACCUGGGAAUGGCAGUGGAUACUGGAAAGCUAGAGUGCGGUAGAGGGUAGUGGAAUUCCCGGUGUAGCAGUGAAAUGCGUAGAGAUCGGGAGGAACACCAGUGGCGAAGGCGGCUACCGGGACCAGCACUGACACUGAGGCACGAAAGCGUGGGGGAGCAAACAGG